UACGGGGGGGGCAAGCGUUGUUCGGAAUUACUGGGCGUAAAGGGCUCGUAGGCGGCCAACUAAGUCAGACGUGAAAUCCCUCGGCUUAACCGGGGAACUGCGUCUGAUACUGGAUGGCUAGAGGUUGGGAGAGGGAUGCGGAAUUCCAGGUGUAGCGGUGAAAUGCGUAGAUAUCUGGAGGAACACCGGUGGCGAAGGCGGGUCUCUGGGCCGAUACUGACGCUGAGGAGCGAAAGCAUGGGUAGCGAACAGG
rnacentral:rRNA from 1 species